UACGAAGGGGGCUAGCGUUGGUCGGAUUCAUUGGGCGUAAAGGGGGCGUAGGCGGCGCGGUAAGUCGGGUGUGAAAUCUCGGGGCUUAACUCCGAAACUGCAUUCGAUACUGCCGUGCUUGAGGACUGGAGAGGAGACUGGAAUUUACGGUGUAGCGGUGAAAUGCGUAGAUAUCGUAAGGAAGACCAGUGGCGAAGGCGGGUCUCUGGACAGUUCCUGACGCUGAGGCACGAAGGUCAGGGGAGCAAACGGG
rnacentral:rRNA from 1 species